rnacentral:rRNA from 1 species
GCUAAUCAAUGGGUAGCAAUAUUCGUUGGUUGGAGUCGCGUAAGGGUGCGUAACACGUGGGCAAUUUGCCGCGAAGCUCGGAAUAACCUGCCGAAAGGCAAGCUAAUACCGAAUGUGACUUGUACUGGGCAUCCAGUAUCAGUCAAAGCCGGGGAUCGUAAGACCUGGCACUUCGCGAUAAGCCCGCGGCCUAUCAGCUAGUUGGUGGGGUAACGGCUCACCAAGGCUUAGACGGGUAGCUGGUCUUAGAGGACGACCAGCCACACUGGAACUGAGACACGGUCCAGACACCUACGGGUGGCAGCAGUCGAGAAUUUUUCACAAUGGGCGAAAGCCUGAUGGAGCGACGCCGCGUGGGGGAUGAAUGGCUUCGGCCCGUAAACCCCUGUCAUUCGGGAUCAAUUCCGCCAACCUAACACGUUGUCGGUUGAUAGUACUGAAAGAGGAAGGGACGGCUAACUCUGUGCCAGCAGCCGCGGUAAUACAGAGGUCCCAAGCGUUGUUCGGAUUUACUGGGCGUAAAGGGAGCGUAGGUGGCAGGCAAAGUCUAAUGUGAAAGCUCUGAGCUUAACUCAGAAAUGGCAUUGGAUACUAGUUUGCUCGAGGAUUGGAGGGGAGACUGGAAUACUUGGUGUAGCAGUGAAAUGCGUAGAUAUCAAGUGGAACACCAGUGGCGAAGGCGAGUCUCUGGACAAUUCCUGACACUGAUGCUCGAAAGCUAGGGGAGCAAACGGGAUUAGAUACCCCGGUAGUCCUAGCUGUAAACGGUGCGCGCUUGCUGUAUGUGGAUUCGACCCCGCC